rnacentral:rRNA from 1 species
AAUCAACGCUGGCGGCGUGCCUCAGACAUGCAAGUCGAACGCGAAAGUCCCCUUCGGGGGACAAGUAGAGUGGCGCACGGGUGAGUAACACGUAGGUAAUCUACCUUCGGAUGGGGAAGUAACAACCGGAAACGGUUGCUAAUACCGCAUAAUGCAGCGGCACCUAAUGGUGACAGUUGUUAAAGCGGGGGAUCGAAAGACCUCGCGUCUGAAGAGGAGCCUGCGGCGGAUUAGCUAGNGGUUAAGGUAAUGGCUUACCAAGGCGACGAUCCGUAGCCGGCCUGAGGAGGGGCGGUCGGCCACACUGACACUGACAUACGGGUCAGACUCCUACGGGAGGCAGCAGUCGGGAAUUUGGCAAUGGGCGAAAGCCUGACCCAGCAACGCCGCGUGAAGGAUG